rnacentral:rRNA from 1 species
UGAAAAGUACGGCUUAUUGAAAAGUGGUGUGAACUACCUAAUAGAAAGCUUAGUACCUAAUAGAGGGCUAGUUGGCUUAACUACCUAAUAGAGGGCCCCAGAAGAUCUAUGUUUAAUCUACACAACAUCGUAUGUCCAGAAAAUAUAAAUAAAUUACAACUUUCAGCAAUGGAUCUCUUGGUUCUCGCAUCGAUGAAGAACGCAGCGAAUCGCGAUAAGUAAUGUGAAUUGCAGAUUUUCAGUGAAUCAUCGAAUCUUUGAACGCACCUUGCGCCCCUUGGUAUUCCGAGGGGCAUGCCUGUUUGAGUGUCAUUUUAUCAUCAACUCAUUAGUCUUUGAUUAGGCUUUUGGGCUUGGACUUGGGAAUUGCCGGCUUGAUCUUUACUCAUUGAAAAGUAUCUAAUACUUAAUAGAGGGUAGAGUGUAGUCGGCUGUCCUUAAAUGCAUUAGCGAGUGUUAGUCUACAUGGCACGGCCUCUUGACGUGAUAAUGAUCGUCGUGGGCUGGAAGUGUAGUGUCUGGCUUCUAAUCGUUGAUUGCGUGCAUACGGCCCAUAAAGCUGGAAGCGCAACAAACCACGACUUACGUGCAAGCGUAGUUCGAAAUUGACAUUUGACCUCAAAUCAGGUAGGACUACCCGCUGAACUUAAGCAUAUCAAUAAGCGGAGGAAAAGAAACUAACAAGGAUUCCCCUAGUAACUGCGAGUGAAGCGGGAAAAGCUCAAAUUUUGAAUCUGGCGGUCAUCUAGGCCGUCCGAAUUGUAAUCUAGAGAAGUGUCUUCCGCGCUGGCCCGUGUACAAGUCUCCUGGAAGGGAGCAUCAUAGAGGGUGAGAAUCCCGUCUUUGACACGGACUACCAGGGCUAUGUGAUGCACUCUCGACGAGUCGAGUUGUUUGGGAAUGCAGCUCAAAAUG